UAUCAUAUAAUAUCUGUAUUCUGACAAACUCCCUCCCAUUUGAUCAUAAUCAUUACAUCUCUCUAUUGUCUGUUAUCAAAACCACGGAUCAUAACCUAUUUCAAGUUUACAGAGCCCAAUCUUGAAAAAGUUCACACCAUUCAAAUCUGCUCCAAACAUUGAUGUUCAUCAGUAAAAUUUGGUUCAAGUUAAUACAAAGCUUGUAAGCCUUUUAAGUUUAAUUACUUUGGUUUCUUUUGGACGAAGUACAUAAUUCAAGAUUUUAAUUAUUGUGAUCAUUGAAUAAGGUUCUGGAAUCAACCUAAUCGUUUGAAUCUGUUCUUCAGAAAUUAUAAACACGGUAAGCCCGUCUUCAUGCAUGAUUCUGGUUUUUUUCAUAUGUUUUAUUUUUGUAGGAGGAACAAAUGAAUCAAAUGACGAUCGUAUUUUCGAUGAAGUGCAUCAGCCUUUAUAUUCGGUUUAAGGAAUUUGAUGAUGAGACGUGUCAAGAAAUCAACUAAGAUGAA
rnacentral:lncRNA from 1 species